rnacentral:misc_RNA from 1 species
GAAAUGCGAUAAGUAAUGUGAAUUGCAGAAUUCAGUGAAUCAUCGAAUCUUUGAACGCACAUUGCGCCCGCCAGUAUUCUGGCGGGCAUGCCUGUUCGAGCGUCAUUUCAACCAUCAAGCCCCCGGGCUUGCGUUGGGGCCCUGCGGCUGCCGCAGACCCCUAAAACCAGUGGCGGGCUCGCUGUCACACCGAGCGCAGUAGCAAUAUCUCGCUCUGGGCGUGGCGCGGGUGCUUGCCGUAAAACACACCACUUAACAAGGUUGACCUCGGAUCAGGUAGGAAUACCCGCUGAACUUAA